rnacentral:rRNA from 1 species
UACGUAGGGUGCGAGCGUUGUCCGGAAUUAUUGGGCGUAAAGAGCUUGUAGGCGGUUUGUCGCGUCUGCUGUGAAAAUCCGAGGCUCAACCUCGGACUUGCAGUGGGUACGGGCAGACUAGAGUGUGGUAGGGGAGACUGGAAUUCCUGGUGUAGCGGUGGAAUGCGCAGAUAUCAGGAGGAACACCGAUGGCGAAGGCAGGUCUCUGGGCCACAACUGACGCUGAGGCGCGAAAGCUAGGGGAGCAAACAGG